rnacentral:rRNA from 1 species
GAUGAACGCUGGCGGCGUGCCUAAUACAUGCAAGUCGAGCGAACGGACGAGAAGCUUGCUUCUCUGAUGUUAGCGGCGGACGGGUGAGUAACACGUGGAUAACCUACCUAUAAGACUGGGAUAACUUCGGGAAACCGGAGCUAAUACCGGAUGAUAUUUUGAACCGCAUGGUUCAAAAGUGAAAGACGGUCUUGCUGUCACUUAUAGAUGGAUCCGCGCUGCAUUAGCUAGUUGGUAAGGUAACGGCUUACCAAGGCAACGAUGCAUAGCCGACCUGAGAGGGUGAUCGGCCACACUGGAGCUGAGACACGGUCCAGACUCCUACGGGAGGCAGCAGUAGGGAAUCUUCCGCAAUGGGCGAAAGCCUGACGGAGCAACGCCGCGUGAGUGAUGAAGGUCUUCGGAUCGUAAAACUCUGUUAUUAGGGAAGAACAUAUGUGUAAGUAACUGUGCACAUCUUGACGGUACCUAAUCAGAAAGCCACGGCUAACUACAUG